GGGCCUCUAGCUCAUGCCUGGUUAGAGCAGCGGACUCAUAAUCCGUUGGUGCCCGGUUCGACUCCGGGGGGGCCUACCA
rnacentral:tRNA from 1 species